rnacentral:rRNA from 1 species
UACGGGGGGGGGAAGCGUUGUUCGGAAUUACUGGGCGUAAAGGGCUCGUAGGCGGCCAACUAAGUCAGACGUGAAAUCCCUCAGCUUAACUGGGGAACUGCGUCUGAUACUGGAUGGCUUGGAUUCGGGAGAGGAAUGCGGAAUUCCAGGUGUAGCGGUGAAAUGCGUAGAUAUCUGGAGGAACACCGGUGGCGAAGGCGGCAUUCUGGACAGUUCCUGACACUGAGGCACGAAGGCCAGGGGAGCAAACGGG